AUUGAACGCUGGCGGCAGGCCUAACACAUGCAAGUCGAACGAGUGGCGGACGGGUGAGUGAUGUCUGAAACACUGCCUGAUCGAGGGGUAUAACUACUGGAAACGGUAGAUAAUACCGCAUACCAUCAUUUGUGCUGAGAUGGGUUUAGCUAGUGGGUGGGGUAACGGCUCACCAAGGCGACGAUCCCUAGCUGGUCUGAGAGGAGGACCAGCCACACUGGAACUGAUACACGGUCCAGACUCCUCCGGGAGGAAGCAGUGGGGAAUAUUGCACAAUGGGCGCAAGCUUGAUGCAGCAAUGCCGCGUGUAUGAAGAAGGCUUUCGGGUUGUAAAGUACGUUCAGCGGGGAGGCGUUACCCGCAGAAGAAGCACCGGCUAACUACGUGCCAGCAGCAGCGGUAAUAC
rnacentral:rRNA from 1 species